rnacentral:rRNA from 1 species
UACGUAGGUGGCAAGCAUUAUCCGGAUUUACUGGGCGUAAAGGGUGCGUAGGCGGAUUUUUAAGUGAGAUGUGAAAUACCCCGGGCUCAACCUGGGGGCGUGCAUUUCUAAACUAGGAAAUACUAGAGUGCAGGAGAGGAAAGUGGAAUUCCUAGUGUAGCGGUGAAAUAGCGUAGAGAUUAGGAAGAACACCAGUGGCGAAGGCGACCUUCUGGACUGUAACUGACGCUGAGGCACGAAAGCGUGGGGAGCAAACAGGAUUAGAUACCCGUGUAGU